UUUUUUUUUUUUUGGUAUGCAUUAUUUUUAACAAACAGUCACACCAGGCACAUGGAAGGUGCUUUACAAACACUAGCUCGGUGCAUUCUCAUAGACAACUCUGUAAGGAGGUACUGUUACUGACAGAUGAGAAAACAGAGGCACCUGGAAGCUCAGUCACUUGCCUGGGGUCAGGCAGGUUAGUAUGUGACACACCCAGAGUUACAGUCCAGGCGGCCACAUUCUGGUGUCUGGCUCUUCAUCUCGACGCUGUGCUGGAUAGCACAUGACACCCUGUGCACCGACUACACAGCUCUGGCUCAGAAACACUGAAGGCUCAAGUGUCUUUGUAGCUUUCAACAGAUUCGCAUUGGGGGAGGGUGUAUUUUUUCCCCAGUAAAGCUGUGUUCUCUUCCCAGGGAUCUUGAGUGUGUGUGUGUGUGUGUGUGAAAUAAAUACAUCUCUCUGUUCCUCUGAAGCAAGACUAACCUCAAGGCCAGGUGGCUACAUGGUGAAAGUUGUCCUGUCCCCGGUCGAACCCUGCUUUGAAGCCCAGUCUCCCAAUUUCCAAGGCGAACCUCUCUGAGCCUGAGUUUCAGCGUCUCUGCUGAAGGAGAAGGGACCUUUCUCCCGACACCUUCGCUUACGUCUGGGUUUCAGUGUCGGGGAGGAGACGUGGGUUUCCUCCACCGCUCGACCCUGGAUGGGUCAGGGGCUUUUUGAUGUGUCACGUUGCGGAUCAAACCUGCCUCUUUUCAUUCAGCGGAGACCUCAGGAGAACACCCUUUCCCAGGCAGUUUGCCCAGAGUCCCCGGGAGCGGCCCGCGUGUGCUUCCUACCCAGCUUGUCCCGCCUGGCCCUCCGCUCUUCCCAUCCCCUCCUGCUUCGUUCCCCAGAGCCCUUCGCAGGGAGGGAGGGGGAGCUGAAGGGGGCGGCAAGUCCAGCCCGCCAGCUUGAAAGCUUCAUUUGACAGGGGAGGAGGCACAUCUGGUUUGGGUUUUCGAUUCAAUUCAACAAUGAUUUAUUGUGGGCCUGCCAGCUGCAGAGGUUCUGGGCUAGGCUGAGGCAGGGAGCGAUGCAAAGAUACGUCAAGUGUUAUCUGUGCCCUUAAAGGAGUUGUAUAGGUUGUAGCAGAGUGUAGACCUGCAUGAGCAAUCUCGACGCACCGGGCCCUGGGCUGAGCUGGCUUUUUUACCCCGUGUACGUUAUGUCUUUGGACCUUCCCAACAGGUCCUGUGAUGGGGCAGGGAAACUGUGAUGACUUCAUUUCACACGUUAAGGGAACCGGGCCUCAGAGAGGAAGUGACCGGCCCAAGGUCACACGGUUAGGAUGUGGUGGCACCAGGCCUGGAACCUAGAUGUGGCUGGUUCCCAAGCCCACGCGCUCUUAACUGUUACUUCGCCCUGCUUCCCAGAGAGGAUGAAGAUGCUGCUGCUGCGUGACCCUUGCUAAGCUCCCUAGACCCAGGCUUGUGCUGAGUGGGCUGUGGAUAUUAUUAUUUCAUUGGCAACUUCCAGAAUCCUGAGGCAGGUUGUUGUGCCCUUUUCCAGAAGAGAAAACUGAGGUUGUUUAGGGGAGUGGUGGCCCUGGGUUUUGAACCUAGGUUAUCCCAGCCCACCAGCCUACAGCCUAGAGGAGGCUAUAGACAGAGGGUGUCAGGAGGGUUCAGGGACAAGGCAAUGUGUUAGGCCUGGGAAAGUUUUAUGGCGGAGAUGGCAUUGGGAUUGGACCUUGAAGAGUGAGUUGGCGAUUGAUAGGUAGUGUUGGGAAAGAGUGCCCCUCAUCAGAAGGGAUAUUAUGAAUAAAGUGAUGGACUUGGGGGCAUUUUGAUUGCAAAGGCUGCGGGUUCCUCCAGUUUGUGAGCAGGAUACGUGGGUGUAAAGGGAGCAGUGGGAAGGAAAGUGGAUGCCCCCGAGGGGUUCACAUUUUGUCAAGUUGAAGUUCUUGUUUUUCUAUCAAGAGCGGUUCCUCCGCCCCAAAGGCUUUUGCAAUGAUACUAUCCUGUAAUCCAUGAGCAGAGGCACAGGGGACUCUUGCUGUGUACCUACCCCUGUGCUGAGAGCUGUGGGGAAGACAGAAGAAAGCAACUCCCUUCCUCAAAUGUGUGCCCAGGGCCCCCUUGUGGUGGGAGAGGCAAGAUACACACACUAGAAAAAGCAGCCACCAGCCCAAGCAAUUUGUGAUCAGGGCCAAAUGAGUUUUCUCAACUGUCAGAUUUCCAAGAAUAUGAAGGUGGGGGGAACCCCGCAAAGGGAGGCUUCACCGUGAGAGCGGGUUUGGGUUUUGGCGGCGGGGGGUGGGGGGGGUGGUUAAUAGGCGUGGUGGAUGGAGAGGAAGGACGGCAAGCUUAAGACUAGGUAGAACUGGUAGCGUUGCCGGCACGGAGGGCUCGGCAGAGCCCCCCCGCUUCCCCGCUCCAUGUCUUGACCUCCAGGAGUUAAUUGGGGGAGAUGGGACUGUGACAGGGUCAGAGACAGCCCGUGGGAGCUGGGAAACCGGGCUGGGUACCCGAUAUUUCUGAUCCUCCAAUUUUCUACACUUAGCCUCAAUUCCUGGCAGCUCCCCCAGCUGCUGAAUUGUAUGUGUAUGUGUGAGCGGUAUUUUAAAUUAAGCAGUGAGUGCUUUCAGCUCAUCAUAAACAUGCUAAAAAGCUUCGGCCGCGGUCUGAGCCCACCCCCGCCCCUUACACUCAGACGGCAGCUGGGGCCACUCGACCCUACACUCUAAUGCGUGUUGCCUAUGAUUCACCAACGAAAAAGACUAUAUGUUUCAGUCCUCCUGGGUAGCUGAUUCCUAGUUGUGGUGGGAACUCUCAGUCCGAAUUUGGAAGGCGGAGGGCCCCAGCCCCGCCCUGCUGACGGACAAUUCUAUGGAGCCUACUGUGUGCAAGGCAUUGUGGGUAAGUCCAUUAAUGUCGCUGGGCUUUCCAUGUCCUCAUUCAAAAUGCAUAUAAUACUCCUGCCUGCGUUCCCUCCCUACCCAGGCUGCAUGUCUCAGUCACGCUGUUCUUUUGAUUUCUGGACCCUUCCCAAAGUCUCCUCCUGCCCCAGGGCCUUUGCACAUGCUGUUCCUGCAGCCUGGACUGCCUUUGCUCUUGCUGUGGACCCGGGAGGCUUCUUCUUAACCUUUCGGUCUCAGCUUUAGGGUCACCUCCCGAGAUACGCCUUCUCUGACCACCUACAGUUAGUGCCCUCCGAAGAUUCCUUUUAUCGGCUGUUUCCUUAACCCCCCUCACCCUUCUGGGUAAUUAUAUCUAUUUCUACGUGGCUGUUUCUAGUCUGCCUUUCUCACUGGAAUGUAAACUCCAGGAGGCCAGGGACCUUGUCUUUACCGCUUGGCAAUGUGUUUCUCUCAUCUAGUGGGGUGCUUGGCACAUAGUAGGUGGACAUAAACAAAAGCAUCUGGGACAUAUUUUUUCCUUGAGGUUUUUUUUUUUGCCAGACAUAUGGUUGCUGAGGGAAAAAUCAUGACAGAACUGUGUCAUCCCAAAUGAAAAAAAAAAAAAUCAGGCUAAAGGGAGGAGUUUGUUGAAAGCAGUUUUGUUUUAGAAACCAGUCCUUGGAGUCUCAUCACCAGACACAGUCUUACGAAAGUCAAACAAAAGGAAUAGAAAGCAUUAAAAAACUGACUUUUGACUGGAUGCUUGCUAUGUGCCAGGAACUGUUCUAAGUGUUCUACCCAGAUUAUCUCAUUUAAUCCUCAUGAUAACCCAAUGACGUCAAUUCUAUUAUUAGCCCCAUUUUACAGAUGAGGGAAUCGAGGCUCUGAGAUGUUAAGCAGAGUGCCCAAGGUCGUGCAGGUAGCGAGAGGCAGAAUGGAAAGUUGAACCCGAGGCAGGCUGAGGCCGUGAAUGGAACCAUCUGUUCCCCUGGUAGCCCCCACGCUACCCCACCGCAGCCCUGAUAGUAUAGCCUUCCACUGGACUGGGAGCUUUCCAAGUGCAAGGACUCUGGCUUCUUCAUUUGCUUCCCCUGUGCCUGGAAUAGAGCUUGUUCCAGAACAGGUACCAAUCAAUAUUUGUUGAGUAAAUGAAUGAGGGAGAGAGGGAGGGCCAGAAUCCAUGUUCUUUAUUUUCCCAGCCUCAGGCUUAUGGGCUCAUGUUUAUUUCCCUGGUUUACAUUAAAAUGUAGCCCUGGAGACAAGGUGUGUGCAAGAGGUGCAAGAGGUCCCUCCUCUCCCUGCGGGAUACAAGGGGGGACGGGAGGUGCUAAGGAGAAUAAGCGAGGCAGCAUCUCUAGAGCAAGGCGCUCCCUUUUCAGCGGUUCAUUUUGUCGUCAACCUGAAAAGCAGCCGGACCAGUUUAGGACUUAAACAAACUUUCAGCGUUCCAGUCCCAUCUCAGAUCCUUUACGGAACUGAAGCUGGGUGUGGGGGAGGAGGAGGGGAGAGUUAUAAAUAAACAGAUACCCACAAACCGGCUGGUUCUUUAAACAGAAUUUGCUUCAAUCAGCGCUGUGCCACAUUUUCCCAACUGGCCUCCGUCAUGAGAACAAGUGGGAACUUUCAUAGUGAAUGGCUUUCCCCCCCUCCCUACCCCACCCGAUGAAUGGUGGGAGUUUUGGCUUGGGAGGCAAAUUUCAAAUCCUCGGCACACACUUUCCUGCCCUACUGUGCCCCGUCCAUCACACACAGUGCCCUGCACAGCAUACCCAGUCAUCACAUCUGCUGCCUCAGCCCUCCACAAUAAUUGGGUCAUUGUUUUAUUACACCAGUGAGAGCGCUGCAAGCCUGUUAGGAUUAUGUCAUUGACAUUUGCGUGAAAAGGCAAUCAUGAUAUGCUGGGCAUUUCACACAGCUGGGAAUGCAACUGUGUUGUCAUUGUUUGAGCGUCUCAUCCAAACCCCCUGACUCCGUGUCACAGUCCGGCCCAACCAGUGGAAACGGAUUGCUCUGAUGUCUGUCACCUUUUAAGGUUGUCUAGCCCUUCCAAUAGACCAGGCAGGAUCUAACUCUUCUCAUGCACUUUUGGGCUUUUCUGCUUCUAGACGCAGGGGGCUGAGGCUGAGAGAUGCCCGCUUUUCCGCAGUGUGGGAGGUGUUCACUCUCGUGGCUGGGUGCUGUAAUAUAGUAUCAUUUGUUCACUGACGGCUAAUCAGAGCCAAGAACUGUUUUGGCUCGAGAUCAAACAAAGGGCUAAUGUUGUCUGUGGGGAAAGACUAUUUAGACAAUUUAUGAAUCAGAGUUCUGUGGUGACUUCUAUGGUGUGUUACUUUCAGCGGGACCUGCGCUUUGACUGCAGUUGUCGGUAGGCUUGAGCACGGGUCUCUGCGAAAGAAAUUCCAGCCCGAUUUGCACUUAUCAACAGGUAUUAAUGACGGCAGAACAUCUCAGUUGCGAAUAGGGAAAUGAUUCGCACUGAUUUCAGAAGUGUAAACAGAGCUCAAAUUCGUGGGCCAGUUCUUUUACUGUGAUACAUUGAUCUUCUUCUCCCACUAGUGUGGGGGCUGGAGUGCAUGUGGCCAUUCACCCGCUCUUGGAAGGAAUCUAUUGCAGACACCUCUCCGUCCCUUUUCUGGUCCCAGUCCUCGCCAAGCCAGCCCUCACCAGCCAUCUCGAGGUGUGAUAGGCACAGCUGGCCCAAUAAAGGGGAGUCAGCUGAAAAGACACAGGGGCUUAGAUGCACAUCUCUCUUAAUCCUCAUUGCCGUGACUAUAAAGAAUUCAGGUUCCUGAAUUUUUCUUGGCAACCGAUUUCAAGUCCUGUGCCUUCUGGGUGCUUUGGUACUAGGGCUGUUCCUGGUUCCUGCUUUGGGUCUGUCUUUUCCUUAUGGUGGCAGUUUCCCUUUCUGUAAAAUGGGGCUCUCGCUGGGAUCAAAUGAGAGACCUUACCUAGACCUGGCAUGGUGCCUGGUGAGGAGAGAGUAAGUGCCCCAUCACUGGUGCUUGUCAGCAUCUUUUUCCUGUCCAGGCGUCUUCUGGUUCUUUUCCCUGCACCUCCAAUCCUGGCGCUGAGUCAGGGCCUGUUCUCUCCCCUGGCUGUAGCAAGCCAGGGCACCUGCCCCUCGGACAAUCUGCCGUCCCUUCUCUGAAGGCCUUCUGUUGUCCUUUACCUGUCGCCAUGCAGCACUCAGUGUAACCACGGCCAGACCUCUGCCAGCUGCUGACAUUAACCUGUUGAAUUCUGACAGGGGAGAGUCAGUUUCCAGGUGGGAAUUUGCAUGUGUGGGCCAGGUACAAGACCUUGUACCUGCCGUCCUCCGCGGUGAGCCAGUCACCCCCACUCUGGUUACAACCAGAUGUUUCACACCUGUGACUGCAAUGCCACCCAUCAAAUGGUUGCUUACAAGGAAGACAGAGUGGUUUUCAUAUCAGAAAUAUAAGCUGUGUGUCGCUUCUCGAAUGUCUUAAAAGCAGCUACCAUACCUGGGUACUUUUCCCUUGAGAAGGACCCCCUUGUUGAGGGUCUUUAAUUUGGAGGUGCCGGGGGUGAUUAUAUACCUUUCCGAGGGGGUCCUGACUGCUCUAAUUUGCAGGGAAUUAAAAUAUUGGAGGAGAUACGAGAUCUUCCCCCAAACUCACCUGCUUUUUGAAAAUGCGCUCCAGUUGCCUUGGCGAACAGCCAAUGCAGGCGCUAAAAGAGAGUCAGAGAACGUAGGAAUCCUGAAUGCUACUCUCCUUGCAUGUACAUGCCCCAACAGAACGGCGGUGGCGAGGGGGAAACAGGAAAUGGGGAAAAGGCAGCUUUUGCAUCCUAGGCUGGGAGAGGGGACGUGUGGCAACAUCAUGACAGCUGACUUCCCCACCAGGGUCAACCACUCAGUCUGAGAGGUUGUCCAAUCUGGCAGGGCACCCCAGGGCCAAGAGUGAAGGGGCCAGUCCAGUGAGAUCACCACCACGAGCAGGUCUCGUUUUGACUGCUUUGAGUCGACUUUCCUGCUUUGGCUUCGUUGCUUAGUG
rnacentral:lncRNA from 1 species